rnacentral:rRNA from 1 species
UAGAAUCCCACGUGUAGCGGUGAAAUGCGUAGAGAUGUGGAGGAAUACCGGUGGCGAAGGCGGCCUUCUGGACAGAUACUGACGCUGAGAUGCGAAAGCGUGGGGAGCAAACAGGAUUAGAUACCCUGGUAGUCCACGCUGUAAACGAUGUCUAUUUGGAGUUUGUUGCCCUGAGUGAUGGGCUCCGAAGCUAACGCGAUAAAUCGACCGCCUGGGGAGUACGGCCGCAAGGUUAAAACUCAAAUGAAUUGACGGGGGGCCCGCACAAGCGGUGGAGCAUGUGGUUUAAUUCGAUGCAACGCGAAGAACCUUACCUGGUCUUGACAUCCACAGAAUCUUGCAGAGAUGCGAGAGUGCCUUCUGGAACUGUGAGACAGGUGCUGCAUGGCUGUCGUCAGCUCGUGUUGUGAAAUGUUGGGUUAAGUCCCGCAACGAGCGCAACCCUUAUCCUUUGUUGCCAGCGAUUCGGUCGGGAACUCAAAGGAGACUGCCGUUGAUAAAGCGGAGGAAGGUGGGGACGACGUCAAGUCAUCAUGGCCCUUACGACCAGGGCUACACACGUGCUACAAUGGCGUAUACAAAGGGAGGCGACCUCGCGAGAGCAAGCGGACCUCAUAAAGUACGUCUAAGUCCGGAUUGGAGUCUGCAACUCGACUCCAUGAAGUCGGAAUCGCUAGUAAUCGUGAAUCAGAAUGU